rnacentral:rRNA from 1 species
GACGAACGCUGGCGGCGUGCUUAACACAUGCAAGUCGAACGGUAAGGCCCUUCGGGGUACACGAGUGGCGAACGGGCGAGUAACACGUGGGUGAUCUGCCCUGCACUUCGGGAUAAGCCUGGGAAACUGGGUCUUAUACCGGAUAGGACCACUGCCUGCAUGGGCGGUGGUGGAAAGCUUUUGCGGUGUGGGAUGGGCCCGCGGCCUAUCAGCUUGUUGGUGGGGUGAUGGCCUACCAAGGCGACGACGGGUAGCCAGCCUGUGAGGGUGACCGGCCAGACUGGGACUGAGAUACGGCCCAGACUCCUACGGGAGGCAGCAGUGGGGAAUAUUGCACAAUGGGCGCAAGCCUGAUGCAGCGACGCCGCGUGAGGGAUGACGGCAUUCGGGUUGUAAACCUCUUUCAGCACCGACGAAGCGCAAGUGACGGUAGGUGCAGAAGAAGGACCGGCCAACUACGUGCCAGCCGCCGCUGUAA